UACGGGGGGGGCAAGCGUUGUUCGGAAUUACUGGGCGUAAAGGGCUCGUAGGCGGCCAACUAAGUCAGACGUGAAAUCCCUCGGCUUAACCGGGGAACUGCGUCUGAUACUGGAUGGCUUGAGGUUGGGAGAGGGAUGCGGAAUUCCAGGUGUAGCGGUGAAAUGCGUAGAUAUCUGGAGGAACACCCGUAGCGAAGGCGGCACUCUGGGCCGGUACUGACGCUGAGGAGCGAAAGCGUGGGGAGCAAACAGG
rnacentral:rRNA from 1 species